UGCACGCACACACACACACACACACACACACGCAUAUUUAGAUGAGAUCCAAAAUGAACAUCAAGUCAGUGUCAUUGUGUGAGUUAUACCUUAUCUGGAGGAAAUAGGAACAGUAAUUAAAGCUUUUGUUUUGUGUGUGUGCGUGUAUAAAGUAAGGAAUGUGCUCCACCUGCUGGACAUUACUAAACUGCACAUCAAGAAGAGAUAACUUUAACAUACUCUAAAUCUAUGGAAGUGAUUUAAAGAAAUUUUAGUGCAGUUCUUUACACUGCCUAUUUUACACCUCUUACUUUACACCGCUUAUUUUAUACCUCUUAUUUUACACCUCUUCCUUUACACCGCUUAUUUUACACCGCUUAUUUUACACCUCUUAUUUCACAGCUCUUACUUUAUACCUAUUACUUAUUUUGCACCUAUUACUUUACACCACUUAUUUUACACCUCUUACUUUACACCGCUUAUUUUACACCUCUUACUUCACACCUCUUACUUUACACCUAUUACUUAUUUUGCACCUAUUACUUUACAACACUUAUUUUACACCUCUUACUUUACACCUCUUACUUCACACCUCUUACUUUACACCUAUUACUUAUUUUGCACCUAUUACUUUACACCACGUAUUUUGCACCUCUUACUGCACACCUCUUACUUUGCUUCUGUGACUUUAUUUGUGCAAGUAAAGUUUUUUUUUAUUUAAUUCGGUUGAGGAAGUGAGUGAAGAUGACUGUACACAUAAAUAGAUAGUGAAAAAACAGAAACAGACAGACGGAUAGAUUUAGAGAGAUAAACAGACACAAAUCAGCCAUGCAUGAAGAUUAGAUAGAUAGAUAGAUAGAUAGAUAGAUAGAUAGACAAACAAAAACAAGACAUGCAGAAAGACAGAUACAGAGAGACAGACAGAUAUAGACACAAAACACACAUACAGACAGACAGACAGACAGACAGACAGACAGAUACAGACAUACAUAGGCACAAAGUAGAUGUACAUGCAGAUAGACAAACAGACAGACAAAAACAAGACAGGCAGAAAGACAGAUAUAGACACAGACAGGCAUAGACACAAAGCACACAUACAGAUAGACAGAUACACAAAGACAGAUACACAGACAGACAGACACAAAGCAGACAUACAUGUAGAUAUAUAGAUAGACAGACAGACAGACAGACAUAUUGAUAAGAUAAACAGAGAUGUACAGUAAGACAGAUAAGACUGACAGGAAUACAGAUAUAAAAAUGAUAUAAAUAUAUAAUGAAAGACACACACAUACACAGGCAGAUAAACCUGUAGUAAAGUUUUUUUGUAUUUGUGAUUUUCGUCUGAUUUCCGAGGCGAGUGUGAUGGUCCGAAUUUUGCGAGAUGUUUGGAGACGACCGCAGGUGUGAACGGGGACGCUUCUGCUCCGUCGCACAUGAGUCAUUUCCCUCUUGUUACUAAUCUGUACGCCUCAAAUACUCGUAAUAUACACUUCGAACAGGAAGAAAGCUACUGAAGAAAAACCUUGAACUUGCUGUGACCUUGAAACUGGUUAGAAUGAAAACUGUACAAUGAAUGUGGAAGUUCUCUGUGUGUGUGUGUGUGUGUGUGUGUGUUUGUGUUUGUGUGUGUGUGUUUGUGUGUGUUACCUGCAGGAGCAGAAUGAACUGUGGGAAUCUCUGGAUGGGUUUCAUCAUGAGGCCGUAGAGCGUGACGUGAUCGCGACUGCUCUCCUGACGUUGCUGACUCACGGAGGCGACGAAGACGUCCCCGAUGGUCUGGAGCUGGUCCCAGUCUGCCACACGGCUGGCCAGGGCGAUCUGGAACAUGGCGUGGCACUGCAGGAUCUCCCUCACACGAAAUCGAGAAUAAUCCAGAAAGAAAAAAGUCCCAAAGCUGAAACUGCUGGAGCAGUCACUACACAACAUGUGCUUGUAGUGACCAGCAACACUUAAAUAACAUGCAAAGCAACACGAAUUAGAAGGAGCAACAAAGACCACACCCACAAAACACACACAAACACACACGAGUGAAGUUUCCAUCCGCCUGUUUUUGUUUUUUUUUAAAAAAAAAACGUUUUCUCCCCCCUUAAAGUCCCCUCAGAAAACAAAUGAUAAUUAAAUGAUGUGGUAAAUACAUGCUCCAGUUUCUCCAUUUCUGGAUUUUACUGCCAUUUACCACAUAAACCUUUUAAAGUUAGCAUCUGCUGGCUAUCUUUAGCACAAAAACUAUUUCCUUGGCAAUUUCCUUCAAAACAUAUGCUAUUUUACCUUGCAAGCUAGUUAGCCCACUCACUAGCACGUCAAACAGAUAGUUUGUCUGUUUUGCACAGAUAAUAACAGUUAGGAGAACACAGUAAUGAAUAACAGUCAUGCUAACCAGCUGAUCUGCUAGCUAGUUUACAAAUGAGCUGACUGAAAAAGGACACAAAGUUUAAAUCAGCAGUCAUGUACAGAUGUAGUACUUACUGCUACAUAAAACUUGCACUAACUAGCUAGCUGGGUAAAUUGGUUAGCCGAAUAGAAAAUCAAAUCAGAUAGUUGGCAUGAAUUUUGGGUAGCCGAUUGCUUCGUCUGUACAGAUACUUUGCUAAUAUAUUCAGUUUGCUAACUAGCUAGCUUGCUAAACAGUUAACUGAAUGUGGCGUCAUACACAGAUGCAAUAGUAGGCUUAUUUAUUUAUUUAUUUAUUUAUUUAUUUAUUUAGUAAGGGUAUUUUAUAGAUAUUUUCCUUUCUAAACUCUUGCACUCGUCCUUGCAUCAGACUGCAAAGCCUUAUGGGUAAGCUGCGCUAUGGAAGUCUACGCUAGGACUCGUAUAACAAACUUCACUCGAGCUAAUAAAGUAAACCGGCGUCAAGGAUUCAGCCAAGAGGCAACUCGACAUCAGUUUUUUUUUUUUUUUCCGGUGGUAUAAAAUUUUGCAAAACAUUUGGAUGGAAACAUAGCUACAGAGGCGCUAAUGCUAGCAUGCUACCACAGCGACCAUGGAGGGAUGUGAGACGUGAGACGUGAGACGAGAGACCCACCACCAGCAGUGUGUUAAACAGCGAAAGGAACAGGAUGGGUAGAUUGAUGGAUGGAUGGACAGAAGGAUGGACAGACUUUUUCUUUAUUAAUUUUUUUUACCUUCUGC